rnacentral:rRNA from 1 species
AUUGAACGCUGGCGGCAUGCUUUACACAUGCAAGUCGAACGGUAACAGGCCGCAAGGUGCUGACGAGUGGCGAACGGGUGAGUAAUGCAUCGGAACGUGCCCAGUCGUGGGGGAUAACGCAGCGAAAGCUGCGCUAAUACCGCAUACGAUCUAUGGAUGAAAGCGGGGGACCGAAAGGCCUUGCGCGAUUGGAGCGGCCGAUGUCAGAUUAGGUAGUUGGUGGGGUAAAGGCUCACCAAGCCAACGAUCUGUAGCUGGUCUGAGAGGACGACCAGCCACACUGGGACUGAGACACGGCCCAGACUCCUACGGGAGGCAGCAGUGGGGAAUUUUGGACAAUGGGCGCAAGCCUGAUCCAGCAAUGCCGCGUGCAGGAAGAAGGCCUUCGGGUUGUAAACUGCUUUUGUACGGAACGAAACGGUCCGGGUUAAUACCUUGGGCUAAUGACGGUACCGUAAGAAUAAGCACCGGCUAACUACGUGCCAGCCGCCGCCGUAACAC